UAGGGAAUCUUCGGCAAUGGACGGAAGUCUGACCGAGCAACGCCGCGUGAGUGAAGAAGGUUUUCGGAUCGUAAAGCUCUGUUGUAAGAGAAGAACGAGUGUGAGAGCGGAAAGUUCACACUGUGACGGUAUCUUACCAGAAAGGGACGGCUAACUACGUGCCAGCAGCCGCGGUAAUACGUAGGUCCCGAGCGUUGUCCGGAUUUAUUGGGCGUAAAGCGAGCGCAGGCGGUUAGAUAAGUCUGAAGUUAAAGGCUGUGGCUUAACCAUAGUAGGCUUUGGAAACUGUUUAACUUGAGUGCAAGAGGGGAGAGUGGAAUUCCAUGUGUAGCGGUGAAAUGCGUAGAUAUAUGGAGGAACACCGGUGGCGAAAGCGGCUCUCUGGCUUGUAACUGACGCUGAGGCUCGAAAGCGUGGGGAGCAAACAGGAUUAGAUACCCUGGUAGUCCACGCUGUAAACGAUGAGUGCUAGGUGUUAGACCCUUUCCGGGGUUUAGUGCCGUAGCUAACGCAUUAAGCACUCCGCCUGGGGAGUACGACCGCAAGGUUG
rnacentral:rRNA from 1 species